CAACAACAACAUUUCACCUUCUCCAGGCAGGAAUCGAUGGCGCGCCAACUAUGUAAAUAUUUGUCACGACCGCACGACAAUAUUUGUUCAGACUUUGAUUCACUUUUUGUGACGGACUCGGGGUCCUCGAUGGAGUUGUGUCAAAAAUGACAGUAACUAACCGAGGUAUUUAGGCAUUAUAUUUAUUUAUAAAUUGGAAUGAGUAGUGACUAAAAGUCCCCUAGAUGGCAUUUAAUUAUUCAACAUUUUCCAUUGAGAUUAUUUUUUUAAAGGCGUAACUGUCAAACAAUUAGCGUAAAUGAUGACAACUGUGAUCUUAAUUAAUGAAGGAAAACAUUGAACAGAACCUCUGAAUUAAGAAUUUUAGAGAUCACAGCGUUACCUCUGGAUUUUUGUGCUAGGAGCCCUAAGAGUAUAUCUGAAGACCCUCCCUUUUUGUUUGUUGUUUUGGCGCUGUCCCUCGUUGAA